UUAACUUUUCCUCUCCAGGAGCGCUCCACUACCAGUUGUAAGACAGCGUGCACAGUAUCAGGAGACGUGUCUUUACUGUGUUGGAGGCACUAGAGACUAGAACAAUAUUAAUUUUUAAAGUUUCUAAAAAACUGAUGUCUGAAUUCUCUAAAGCCGUAGAUAUUUCUCUAUAUCCCCCAAAUACUUCAUGACAACCUAAAUCGACAAAAAGAUUUAUUUUACACAAGGAACCAGAAGCCCCAGGGAGAACAGUCUAGAGUACAGGGUAUCUGAAAUAAAAAAUAGUAGGCAUCUACCUCUUUGUCAUGCUUUCAAAGUCUCCCCCUUCUGAUACUGGAUGGCUACCUAGGGCCUUCAGGUGAGUCUCUGGGAAGGCUUCUAACUGAAGGGAUUUGUAAUACAAAAUUCUUCAUUAAAUCUAGAAUCUAAAGUGGUUCAGGAGCACUGUGCUUAAGGACAUGCAGUCUCCCCAAAUUAAAAUCCAUAAUUUCUAGGUAUUUUUUACUGCGCUGAAAUGGAUUAUCUACUGUACACUGGGUCGGGGGAAGCUGCAGAAUAAUCCCAUUUCUGUGACAAUAUGAGUGUAUAUUCACUCAACAAAUACUUUUUUGAACACCUACUAUGUGCUUAUCACUGUUAUGUUGGCUUUU